GAUGAACGCUAGCUACAGGCUUAACACAUGCAAGUCGAGGGACGGGCGCACGGGUGAAUCACACGUAUCCCACGUCCCCUUUACUCGGGGAUAGCCUUUCGAAAGAAACAUUAAUACCCUAUGUAAAGGAUGGGGAUGCGUUCCAUUAGGUUGUUGGUGAGGUAACGGCUCACGAAGCCUUCGAUGGAUAGGGGUUCGGAGAGGAAGGUCCCCGACAUUGGAACUGAGACACGGUCCAAACUCGUACGGGAGGCAGCAGUGAGGAAUAUUGGGAAAUGGGCGUUAGCCUGAACCAGCCAAGUAGCGUGAAGGAUGAAGGCUUAUGGGUCGUAGACUUCUUUUAUAUAAGAAUAGGUAUUAGAUGAAUAAGGAUCGGCUAACUCCGUGCCAGCAGCCGCGGUAAUUC
rnacentral:rRNA from 1 species